rnacentral:tRNA from 2 species
UACGGACUUAAAAUCCGUUGGCUUUUUAGACCAUGAGGGUUCAAGUCCCUCUACCCCCA